rnacentral:lncRNA from 1 species
AUUAAGCUUUUAGGAAGACAGAGCCAACAGGAGUGUUAUAACAUUUGAGUGUAUGGAUGAGUGUGUCUGUGGACAGACUCAACCCUUUUGACUCACUGACUCCUUACGAAGCAGAAUACAUCUUUAAUGAAUCAGUGGUUGUAAUGAAAAAAAUAUUAGUGAACAGAAGCAGUCUCAUAUGUUUUAUAAGAUAUGCUGUUGUACAAGCCUAACAUUACUGUAAACUCGCGUGAAAUAAAUCUUUAUUGCUUUAAAUGUUCAUUGAACUGUAAAUAGCUGCAUAGAAGUAAUUUAAAUAGUAGUAGUUAUUUAACAAACUAAUAGCAAAGCUGCAAACAGAUUUUCCACAUUAAUGCAGAACAAAAGAAAGAAAGAAAUGCAGUUUUUUAGAAACUUUAGAGGAUUUCUUUUCUUUUAAUCUACAUUUCUCAAAAACAGUUUAAGAAAGCAAACAGUAAUUCACAUAGAUAAGGCAAAAGUAACUGCAAGGUCAAGUCUGUGAACUUUGAAUGAGGAAGUCCGGCUCUGUGUGGACAAGGUUGAUGAUUAACUGAAGGAGAAAAGGAAAGAAGCACAGAUCAAUGCUGAAAGAAUCCAGCAUAUCUCAGACUGUCUGAGCAGAAAUUCUAACAGUUUAGAUUUUGAUUCAAACAUGAUGGAUGAAAGCAGACAAGAGGUUUCUUGUAAAGAACAGAGAGACCUUCAGGUGAUCCAGGUGAAUGAUUGCAGAGAGGAGAGAAGGAUGAGGAAAACAUUCAGAGACACGAGAAGCAGACAUUUCAAGUUCACUCAGGCUUCAACUGUCACAACCAGGCCAAGCAGAUUAGAAUCCAGACGAGGGGAAGAAUCAAGGAUGUAUCAAAGUUACAAGAAUUCAUCUACAAGAGAGGACCAUAGGCACAGAGAACUAGAUAGAACAAAGGACAAGCCAACACUGUAGGAUCAGGGAGAGUUCCUUAAAUGCAUUGUGGCUAGUUAGCAAAGUGCUGCCAGCUGUGACUGCUCCACAAGAUCCACAGGUGAAUGGGCGGAGUCACA